CCUGUUUUAAUUUGUAUUAUUUUUUUUUUCAGUGCUUUGACAAUUUUCCGUUGGAUUUGCAUGUGGCGCCAAAAUAUCUGUAGAUCACCACCAUGUCGAUUCAAACGAAUUGAUGACACGAAUCUGCUGGAAAAGCGCAUCAUCUUCUCUGGAUAGCUUGAGAUGUCGCAGAUGCGAAAUGGAAGAUCGCAGUUCGCAGAUCGGAGAUCGCAUAUCGAUGAUCGAAGAUCGAAGAUCCGAGAGCGAAAGCACCAGCUCUGUGCGAAAGAAAGCAGGUGGGUGGGUGACUUUUCCUGCGAUUCGGACGCACUUGCUAAGUGCUAAUUGCGGACAGGAUCCUUACUCGGUCACAGUCCGCACAAAUAAAAAUGCAGAGCUCGUCUUUAUGGUUUGUUGAUGUAAAUCGUGUGUCUUAAACAACAAAAGCGAAUGAUAUUAGACUAAAAUGUUGACUUACUAAUAGUCCUUACAUUUACUGUGUAUAUUUGGCAUGGGAAAAUCGUUGCGAUCUUGAUCAUGUCCAGAAUUUCCCCCACCCUUCGGUCAAAAUCAUGAUUGUGUCGAGCAGUUCCCGGGGCAAU